UUACAAAAUUACCAACUUUCCACAAUAGACCCUUCAAAUUGUGCAAUUUCGAGCAAUCAGCUCGACGAAUCUUCGAACAGAUCGCGCCAGCACCUCCGACAUUAACGGUCCAUCAAAUCUGCAUUUUUGUUUCGCCAGAAAUAAUCGCCAAUUCACAAGAACUCUAUCAUCUUUUUGCCUCAACAUAUAUAUACUUAUAUACAUAAUUUGAAAUUACAAAUGUUCAAAUUUGAAUCUUUUAUUUAAAUUUCAACUUCAAAAUUCUCGGGUAUUACAGUUUUGAUCUAUUCCUUUGAUCAUUUCCACCCCUUAGACCAUAUUUUUCCACCAACCACCUUUUAAAUCCUAGGGAAUUACUACCAUCCUAACCGCACAUUCCUUCAUCCAAGAGCUGAAAAUCUAAUAGCACUAAUGACUUGGUGCUAUUAAUAGUAUUCUAGUCUAGUUCCAGCUAUGGUGCUUCAAAAGCACUAAGCAUUUGGUGCUUGUAAGUUUCUCACUUAGAUUUAUCCCUUUGACCAAUUUUACCCCUUAGAUUAUGCUAUUCCACUACCCACUCAGUCUCAGGGGAUCACUAUCAUCCUAAUCGCACAUCUUUUCAUCUUAGGACCGAAAAUGUACAAGCACUAAUGACUUGGUGCUUUUAAAAGUAUAGGAGCUCAAUUUUAUAUAUAUAUAUGUCACGCCCCGGGGCC
rnacentral:lncRNA from 1 species